UUACGGUCAUAUUAUGUUGAAGCACCUGUUCCCGUACUAUCACAGAAGUUAAACAACGUCGAGCCUGGUCAAUACUUAGAAGGCUGACUGAUUGGGAAUAGCAGGCGCAGCC